rnacentral:rRNA from 1 species
CUGUAGCAAUACAGCGGGGACGGCGUGGCGCACGGGUGCGUAACGCGUGGACAACCUCCCCACGAGUGGGGAAUAACCCCGGGAAACUGGGGCUAAUACCGCAUACGCCUUCCUGGAUGUAGGUCCGGGAAGGGAAAGCUCGCAAGGGCGCUGGUGGAGGGGUCCGCGUCCGAUCAGUUAGUUGGUGAGGUAACGGCUCACCAAGGCGAAGACCGGUAGCCGGUCUGAGAGGACGACCGGCCACACUGGGACUGAGACACGGCCCAGACUCCUACGGGAGGCAGCAGUGGGGAAUAUUGCGCAAUGGGGGAAACCCUGACGCAGCGACGCCGCGUGGAGGACGACGCCCUUCGGGGUGUAAACUCCUUUCGACGGGGACGAAACCCCCGCAAGGGGACUGACGGUACCCGUAGAAGAAGCCCCGGCUAACUACGUGCCAGCAGCCGCGGUAAUACGUAGGGGGCAAGCGUUGCUCGGAAUUACUGGGCGUAAAGGGUUCGUAGGCGGUGGAGUAAGUCGACGGUGAAAUCUCCCGGCUUAACCGGGAGGCGCCCGCCGAAACUGCUUCACUGGAGGGCCGGAGAGGCGAGUGGAAUUACCGGUGUAGCGGUGAUAUGCGUAGAUAUCGGUAGGAACACCGGAGGCGAAGGCGGCUCGCUGGACGGUCCCUGACGCUGAGGAACGAAAGCUGGGGGAGCAAACAGGAUUAGAUACCCUGGUAGUCCCAGCCCUAAACGAUGGUCACUAGACGUG